ACGGGAGGCAGCAGUGGGGAAUAUUGCACAAUGGGGGAAACCCUGAUGCAGCGACGCCGCGUGAGCGAUGAAGUAUUUCGGUAUGUAAAGCUCUAUCAGCAGGGAAGAAAAUGACGGUACCUGACUAAGAAGCUCCGGCUAAAUACGUGCCAGCAGCCGCGGUAAUACGUAUGGAGCAAGCGUUAUCCGGAUUUACUGGGUGUAAAGGGAGCGUAGGCGGAAGGCUAAGUCUGAUGUGAAAACCCAGGGCUCAACCUUGGGACUGCAUUGGAAACUGGUUUUCUAGAGUGUCGGAGGGGUAAGUGGAAUUCCUAGUGUAGCGGUGAAAUGCGUAGAUAUUAGGAGGAACACCAGUGGCGAAGGCGGCUUACUGGACGACAACUGACGCUGAGGCUCGAAAGCGUGGGGAGCAAACAGGAUUAGAUACCCUGGUA
rnacentral:rRNA from 2 species